CUUGCCAAGCUACAAGCACACAAAUAAACACAGGAACUGGGUGUACAUUUAUGCUCUUUUCAGCUCCUUCCAGUGUUUUCAGAGAAGUCAUCUGACACAGAAUGGAAAGGCCUGCUCAUUUUCACUUGCCCUCUACCAGCAGGGAGACACAAGCUGGAGAAAAAGAAAAGUGAAAGAAAAUCCCUUCUCCCUGCAGACUACAGAUGUAGGACUCUCAAAAUCCAACCACGAGACACAGUCAAAACUGGAUGUCUGCAGAGCUCAGCUACUCUGAAACUCUCCUCCCCUGAAGCUGAUUUGUACCUUGGCUAUUGAUUCCUGAUUACAGCUGCUUCAUCUGCUCCUGCAAGUCACCCUCCUGUCUGGACUGCUGGGCCAGGCUGUCUAAGGCAUCUGCAUGCAUGACGUGAAAUGAGACUGCGUCAGAGAGAAAACUUGUGACUGCAGGCUCCUCGAGCUCCUUUACAAAGCUCCCCUGGUUUCCAUUUCUCCCUUUGAGACACUGCUCCAGAAUCUCACUCCAGUGGUUGAAAAUCUAAUUUCCAGGCUAAGUUUAUUAAUAGCAAAUCUGUACCAC